rnacentral:RNase_P_RNA from 1 species
GAAGCCCACCAGACCACCGCUGGUGCAAUUCUGGAAACAGAGCACUGGAGGAACGUCCGGACUGCACAGGGCAGCGUAGCAGUUAACAACUGUCCACCGACAAGGUUUGCAUGCAAAUGCAGGCUCCUAAGGUGAGGAUUAGAGCAACAGAGACGAGUCGAUGGAACAACCCCAAGGGUGUUCUAUGCGUGUAGCGCGGCGCAAGCCGUGCCCCGGGUAACCGGGUGCGCAUAGCCACCCGACGGGCGAAGCCCGUCGGGUGAAACGGGCAAUCUCUACGCGCAGCAAUACCAAGUAGGCACACGUUGACGGGGCCCCCGGAGUGUGCGGGUAGGUAGCAUUGAGCCGUCCAGGUGACUGGCGGCCCAGAUUAAUGGUGGUCACGUGAGGGGAAACCCUCAUGCACAGAAUCCGGCUUAUCGGUGGGCUUCACAC